UUGCACUCCUACCAAGUAGUUUGAUUUGAGCCUCCAGAAGUCAAAGAAUGGCCCAUAAUUUCCUGGAAUCUCUAACUAUCUGACCAGGAAGAUGAGGACUUGUCAGAUAAUUUGACAGGCUUGGUGGAAAUAUACUGUUUUGGAACGUGCUCUGAAUCGUCCCAAAAGGUUACUCAAACAGAAAUUGACUCUUGUCUGAUAGCAAGUCUUUGACACACCUGCAACAGGACUUUCCUGGCAGGGACACUGAAAUUGCUUGCCAUUUCCUUCUCAUUCUCAUUUUACAGAUGAAGAAACUAAGGAAUAUGGGCAUCCUGCUUUUUGGCCUUUCUUGGCAAGAAGAACAUCUGAAAAAUGUUUUGAAGAAAUCUGAAGAUUUGAUUAAAUAAGAUUUAAGGAGAGAGGGGAAAGGAAUGACAAAUAUCUUCAAAACUUGUUCUUCAAUUCUUUUAAAAUGGUGUCAUCUACAAAAUACCUUUAAUAGAGUAAUAGAAUCUCAAAGUUGGAAAGUCAUCUAGGUAGCCUACAUUUGAGUAGGAAUCUACUCUAUAAUAUAUCUGAGAAAUGGACAACCAGUUUCUACUAGAAGGCCUGGAGAAUUGAUACCUUUAUCUUUUUCUUCAGAGCUUAAGCUCCCGCCUCCAGUCUGCUUGUCUUCUCUGGCUCUCUUUCUGAGUCUAUCAGUCCUCCAGGAGAGCCACCAAGAGCCUGACCGAAGAUGGAAUGAAUUUUGUCCAGUCCUUGCUCGCUGUUAUAUACUCCAUUAUCAUAGUUGUGAAUCUGCCAAAUUACAUAGCCACCUGAAAAAAAUGUGGAUGCAUACCUGACACAAGACAGAGGAAAACCUUCAAGACCUUU